rnacentral:misc_RNA from 1 species
GCAAACUUGGUCAUUUAGAGGAAGUAAAAGUCGUAACAAGGUUUCCGUAGGUGAACCUGCGGAAGGAUCAUUAUUGAAUAAACAUGGUGGGUUGUCGCUGGCUUCUCGGAGCAUGUGCACACUCAUCGUCUUUAUCCAUCCACCUGUGCACCUUCUGUAGUCUUGGGGAAUGAAUGCGGUGCAGUCUCGAUAGGUUUUCAGGCCUUUCGAAUAUGAGGAUUGCUUUGUGAAAGCUUGGCUCUCCUCAAAUGCCUGCGAUCGUUACUCAGACUAUGUUUUUCAUAUACCAUGUAGUAUGUUGCAGAAUGUAUCAAUGGGCCUCUGUGCCUAAAAACACAAUACAACUUUCAGCAACGGAUCUCUUGGCUCUCGCAUCGAUGAAGAACGCAGC